AGGACGAACGCUGGCGGCGUGCUUAACACAUGCAAGUGGAGCGACGAACCAGGGCUUGCCCUGGGGCAGAGCCGCGAACGGGUGAGUAACACGUGGGUUACCUGCCUCGAUGACCGGGACAACCCGAGGAAACUCGGGCUAAUACCGGAUGUGCCCGCAAGGGGAAAGGAAGCUUCGGCCUCCGCAUUGAGAUGGGCCCGCGGCCCAUUAGCUUGUUGGUGAGGUAACGGCUCACCAAGGCUUCGAUGGGUAGCUGGUCUGAGAGGACGAUCAGCCACACUGGGACUGAGGCACGGCCCAGACUCCUACGGGAGGCAGCAGUGGGGGAAUAUUGCGCAAUGGGCGAAAGCCUGACGCAGCGACGCCGCGUGGGGGAUGAAGGCCUUCGGGUUGUAAACCCUUUCAGCAGGGACGAAGCGAAAGUGACGGUACCUGCAGAAGAAGCGCCGGCUAACUACGUGCCAGCAGCCGCGGUAA
rnacentral:rRNA from 1 species